GGCCGAUAACCCAGUUUAGUUUAUUAGUUUGAUGUACAGAUAUGUACAGCGAUUAAUUCAAAAUCAGUUGAAUUAAUACAUAGUGCACUACGAAUUAAUCUGUGAUAUGCUACAAGACAAUGUGUGUGCACAGGUGAGACUUGUACCUGGGCUGAACCAAACUAUGCAAAAUGUCAGUCUGUAUACUUAGUCUAUGAGGUUUAUGACAAGCUUGAGAUGCUUCGGCUUGGCUAUCAGCAAACAACCAUUAAGUACGUAUACGAUCAAUUAUGUGAGUUUAUCAUAAGAAGAAAUAAUAACCACUUAUAUUCUGGCGAUGUUGAUUUAGCUGUUAGCAUUCUUCGUUCGUUACUGAGACAUUUGGAACAAUACCCACAAUUGUCAGCCCGCGAUGACAAGAUUAC